AUUGAACGCUGGCGGCAGGCCUAACACAUGCAAGUCGAACGAGUGGCGGACGGGUGAGUAAUGUCUGGGAAACUGCCCGAUGGAGGGGGAUAACUACUGGAAACGGUAGCUAAUACCGCAUACCAUCGGAUGUGCCCAGAUGGGAUUAGAUUGUAGGUGAGGUAACGGCUCACCUAGGCUACGAUCCCUAGCUGGUCUGAGAGGAGGACCAGCUACACGGGACCGGAGACACGGUCCAGACUCCUACGGGAGGCAGCAGUGGGGAAGAGUGCACAAGGGGCGCAAGCCUGAUGUAGCCAGGCCGGGUGUAGGAAGAAGGCCUUCGGGUUGUAAAGUACUUGCAGCGGGGAGGCGUUACCCGCAGAAGAAGCACCGGCUAACUCCGUGCCAGCAGCCGCGGUAAUUC
rnacentral:rRNA from 1 species